rnacentral:rRNA from 1 species
UACGUAGGGUGCAAGCGUUAAUCGGAAUUACUGGGCGUAAAGCGUGCGCAGGCGGUUUUGUAAGUCUGUCGUGAAAUCCCCGGGCUCAACCUGGGAAUUGCGAUGGAGACUGCAAGGCUAGAAUCUGGCAGAGGGGGGUGGAAUUCCGCGUGUAGCAGUGAAAUGCGUAGAGAUGCGGAGGAACACCGAUGGCGAAGGCAGCCCCCUGGGCUAACACUGACGCUCAGGCACGAAAGCGUGGGGAGCAAACAGG